ACGGGGAUCAGGGUUCGAUUCCGGAGAGGGAGCCUGAGAAACGGCUCACCACAUCCAAGGAAGGCAGCAGGCGCGCAAAUUACCCAAUCCAGACAGUGGGAGGUGGUGACGAGAAGUACUAAAUGGUGGCCUAUGGCUGCCAGUUUGGAAUGAACGUAAUUUAAGCAAUUCAAUGAGGAACUACCGGGGGGGCAGUCCUGGUGCCAGCAGCCGCGGUAAUUCCAGCUCCAGUGGCGUGUCUUAAAGUUGCUGCGUUUAAAACGCUCGUAGUUGGAUCAUGCAGUACUUAUCAGU
rnacentral:rRNA from 1 species